UGAACGCUGGCGGUAUGCCUAACACAUGCAAGUCGUACGAGAGUUUUUAACUCUAGUGGCGGACGGGUGAGUAACACGUGAGAAUUUGCCUUUAGGAGGGGGACAACAAUUGGAAACGAAUGCUAAUACCCCAUAUGCUUUCGAGUGAAAUGGAUUUUAUCCGCCUAGAGAGAAGCUCGCGGCUGAUUAGCUUGUUGGUAAGGUAAGAGCUUACCAAGACGACGAUCAGUAUCUGGUUUGAGAGGACGAUCAGACACACUGGAACUGAGACACGGUCCAGACUCCUACGGGAGGCAGCAGUGGGGAAUUUUCCGCAAUGGGCGAAAGCCUGACGGAGCAAUACCGCGUGAGGGAAGAAUGCCUAUGGGUUGUAAGCCUCUUUUUUCAGGGAGGAAUAAAAUGACGUGUACCUGAAGAAUAAGCAUCGGCUAACUCCGUG
rnacentral:rRNA from 1 species